AAAAGAGGGAUGACACCGAAACGAAGAAGGAUGACACCGCAACAGCCUCUAUUUUAAUCAUACAGUUUCCAGAACUCAACCCUAGCAUAUUAACAUCAUGAACUUCUCAAAAUUUUAUAGCAGAAUAAUAACGGUAAGAAAUCCAAGGCUAGAAUAAAUUACCACAGUU